rnacentral:misc_RNA from 1 species
AACGCACAUUGCGCCCCUUGGUAUUCCAUGGGGCAUGCCUGUUCGAGCGUCAUUUGUACCUUCCAGCCCUGCUGGGUGUUGGGCGUUUGUUCCGCUGCGCGCGUGAACUCGCCUCAAAUGCAUUGGCAGCCCGCCGUCCCGUGUGGGAGCGCAGCACAUUUUGCGCUCUCCGCUGCAGACGGUGGCAUCCAUAAGUCUACAUUUUUACGCUUGACCUCGGAUCAGGUAGGGAUACCCGCUGAACUUAA